AAGGCAGCCUUUUUCCCCCUGAGCACAACUCUAAUUAACAGCGGUGGAUGUAGAGAGGCCAGGCAAUGUGGAGCUACUAAGAGGGCCUGGGGCACUGGGCAGACUCACUGUCACCUCGGCUUAAGUGCUGGGUCUUGGGCAGCCAUCUCCUCUCAUCAGAUGCUUUCAGGAAAUGGGUCAGCAAAAAUAAGCAAGAGCACAAAAGAAACCACCGCCAGUCCUCAGGCGCUGACUGCGAGGUAGAGCGUCAGAGAGGGAGAGACUGAAAGAGAAAGAAAGACUUGGAGCCAAGUAUGAGCAGUAUCCACUGACCUGACAGUGAAGCCAAAUCAGUACCAUCUAAAAUAUAUAAACUCUGCUCCAGGCUGUCUCACCGACUAGCCUUUCGAGUGGGUAUUUAGUGGACGUCACUGUUUGUCUGCCUCAUACAGUCGCCUGGAUGGCCGCUUCUGAUGGCGCCAUGCACUUGCACCCCUCUGCCG
ensembl:lncRNA